CAGACGGCGUUCACCCCGUACAUCACCGCCGGUGAUCCCGACCUGGCGACCACGGCGGAAGCGCUCAGGCUCCUAGACGCCUGUGGCGCCGACGUCAUCGAGCUCGGCGUGCCCUUCUCGAACUCCUACGUCGACGGGCCGGUCAUCCAGGCCCCCGCAGCACGGGCGCUGGCGUCCUGCACGACGAUCGACGCCGUGCUGUCGAUGCUGAAGGAGGUAACGCCGGACCUGUCCUGCCCGGUGGUGCUCGUCUCGUACCUGCGCCCAAUCGUGCGGCGGGGCGCGGCCAACUUCACCGCCGCUGUCAAACAGGCCGGUGUGCAAGGUCUUAUAGUGUCCGAUCUUCCUUAUACCGAGACAUGUCCAUUCAGAAAUGAAGCCAUCAAAAAUCAGCAAUGUACAGUGCUACUUACAACACCAGCCACACCAGCAGAGAGGAUGAAAAAAAUCAUUAAUGCCUCAGAAGGCUUUGUUUACCUUGAAAGUGUCAAUGGAGUUACAGGUCUACGAGCAACAGUGAACCCACGUGUCAGAGACCUUCUAAGGAGAUUAAGCAUGGUCACUGACAAAGCAGUGGUUGUUGGCUUUGGUAUAUCAACACCUGAUCAUGUUAGACAGAUUGCUUAGUGGGGUGCAUAUGGGGUGAUCGUUGGUAGUGCAAUGGUGAAACAACUGGGUGAAGCGGCUUCUCCGGGAGAAGGGUUGAAGAGGCUAGAAUUCGCCAGGAGCCUGAAGGAUGCGCUACAAUAA
rnacentral:rRNA from 1 species